ensembl:lncRNA
GGAAAAGCAACCAAUGAGCAGAAUCCAUUAGGGAUCUCCGUAUUUGAGAUAAGAUAAAUUCAGUCUCAGGAGCAAGAAGUGGAGCCAAUUGGGAACCUAAGCAAGAGUUUAGGACCCAGUGGGGAAUAUCUACAUUAAGAGAUAUGCCUAGGAAAUUUUGGAUCCAGAAAACUUUGGAAGGCUCACAGCAAAGCAAGGAGGAGUCAUAACAUUUUGGAUUCAAAACAGGGGCCUAAAUCACAAUGUAGGUUUAAGCCUGAAGGAAAGGCGGCUGAACCAAGGAAGAAUUUCAGAUUUCCUCUUAACCAUUCUGCUACGCUCCUGGAGUCCUGAGAAUUUUUCAGAACAUUUUCAGAAUCUGACUUCUUUGGUUGUUUUAUAUUUUGGGUUGGUUUUUCUUUUUUGUUGUUUGUUUGUUUGUUUUUCUUGAAGGAUCUGAAGGCAUAGCAUCAGUUAAUGCUUCCCUCUGAGCAUGAAGAAUCACCGGAAGCAACCAUGGAAGAUGAGACAAACCCUAUCCCCAUCUUCAGGCACCCAGCUGACUGCCUGGCACAAAAAACCCAUCUCCAUCUGAAGGUGUUCUGAAGAUCUUCUACUGCACUAUCACGUCUGAAAUUUUGCAUUUGAAGUGGAAUUUAUCAAUAGCAGUUUUCAGCUGCUUUGCUAACUGAUUACACCUACAGUUCAGGUCUAAUUUCUUCUAUUUUUUCCUCAGGGGCACAAAAAUUGCAUCAAGAUAGUUAUCCCAGGAAAUGUUUAAAUGGUCCAAAUGUCAGAACUGCCCUACUGGCUGACAGGGAUAAGCUAGCUGUCAUGGACUAAUGAGCUGUAACCUGGAGUUCUGGUUGAUCCUGCCACCCUUGGCCAAAAUAAUCCAAGGAGGGACGUGACGUAUGUUGCAAUCUUGUUUUGAGAACUGGACAUUCAGAUAUCUUCCAGGACUGCUCUCAAGGCUGUAUUGUGCUCACAUUAAAAUUGUUUGGGAGGAUUUGGAAAAGCUUAGAGAUGGAGAACUAAUGCCUGGGCUUUGCUAUGCACCACAGUAAAUGCGGAGGCAAAGAAACCCCUUAAACCUGAGCUCCCUGCUGCAGUGAAUAGUCUGUUGUUCUACUGUUUACAGCCCUUUGACAGGGUGACUAUUUUGAUCAAUGUUAGGCAUAUGCUUAUGUUUCAUUUCCUUUUCCAUUGUCUUUUGUAUCCAAUGUGAAAGAUUUCAGUGUUUACUUAGCUGAAAGUAUUGUGUGUUGUGUUUUUUUUCAUAUAAGUGUUUUCCAUUUAUUUUAUUAUUUCUUCCCCUGGGAAGCAACAUUUGGAAGCAUCCAGGAAAUAAUAUUCUAAUGAGCGCUAAGUUGCAGUCUUUGAGAGCACAGAGAGAAGUUGGUGUAGGGAGGAAAAAAAAAGCAGUUGCAAUGUACCACUCCAUGAUGCAUUUUGUAGCAACAUCUCUACUUUCCAGGUGUUUCUCCCCUAAAGGAUGAUCUUUCACAUUUCUCUAAAUGAAAACCCAGGGAACUUAUAGUUCAAGUCAAACAAACUCUUGUUAAAAGCACUAGAAAUCGAUGCAAGUGAGUGAAAGUGUAAAGUCGUACCUGUCCACUGUGGCGUAUCACAC